AUAUAUGAUUUGAGUCUUUGAGAGCGCCAUAGCAGUUUAUAUACUAUUGGCUGUUCGAAGUUGUGGCAAUUUAUGCAGCUGUCAAUUUAUUACUUGCCUUCAAAUGAGACUUAAAGUUUGCAGUUAGCGGUCUGCCGUAAACGUCAAUCGUAGGGUCCAGGGCCUUUUUUAACUAUUAAGUAUUAUGUUCGUUCGCUAAAAAGCGCGCGAAAAUUCCAUAUUUUCUAAAAUAUGUAACAUCGUCCAGUGCUUUCUUUCGAGCUUUUGAAUACAGCCAAUUCAACAAAGGUUGUCCUUUGCAAACCUUAAACUCUUAAGCGCGCAAAGCUUAAUGGGAG